rnacentral:rRNA from 1 species
UACAGGGGGUGCAAACGUUGCUCGGAAUUAUUGGGCGUAAAGCGCACGUAGGCGGUUCGUUAUGUCAGAUGUGAAAGCCCUUGGCUCAACUAAGGAAGUGCAUCUGAAACUGGCGAGCUAGAGUAUGUAAGAGGGUCGCGGAAUUCCCAGUGUAGAGGUGAAAUUCGUAGAUAUCGGGAGGAACACCGGUGGCGAAGGCGGCGACCUGGGACAAUACUGACGCUGAGGUGCGAAAGCGUGGGGAGCAAACAGG